CCCUGAGGAUCUCAGGAAGCCCUUGACUUCAAAAUAUAAAUGCGUUUCUUCUGCUUCCUAACCAUAUAGUAUUAGUCAAAUGAAUUUAUUAUAAUAAAAAGUCCCCCUUUUCCUCUCCAGAGAGUACAGAACUGCACCUUACAUAUCUGUUUGUUUCUUCUAAAAACCCCUAGGAUGGGUGCCCUGUUUCUGUUGGUUUCUAGGCACCUUUCCACCUCAAUCUGCCUUGCCAAAACCAUCAGAUAUCUCUGUCAUGUGAACUAGGCAGUGAGCCAGCAGGUCAGAGCUUACACAAUUUGUGGCGCCUACUUAAAGUGUCUGAGAUUCUUACCAAUCAGUCUGAACCUGGGGGCAAAGUGUAAUUCUUUCCUUCAUGCCCGUGUUUAUAAAAUCACACAAAGGUAAAGUAUGACACCGGUGGAUUGCGUUGGCUUUUUAUUUUCUUAUAUUGGGGAACUCGGAAAACUCCUGCAUUUCUUUGACUACAGCUUUAUCCCUGCUUUCUGGUAAAGAUGCAAAGCAGCUUGUGUGACAGCUGUCAAAAAGAGCAGGUUGAGUUAAAAGAAGUUAUCUCCAGAAGGAGUGUGCUUAAAGCAGAUUACAGUGUCUAAGGGCCUUACCCAGGUUUUAAUUACUUCUUUUUCAGGCAACAUUUCACUUAGCUGAAUUUGAGGAUUUUUUUUUGUCACCUGAGGCUUUUUAGACAUACUGCAAUACACACUGGCUACAUAGGAUUUCAUUGCAAAUGUACACCUUCUUCCUAAGCACAAAUGGUAUUGUAAUACUUUAAUCAGUGUGAAUGUGCAAAAACUGAGUCGGUCAAAAAUUACCUGGGGGGAAGGAAUUUAAAAAAAAAAAAAAAAGCAAUUAAUUCCCAUUGCAUUUUCUUUCUUCUUAACUGCAGGCUGAGGUCUCUUUGCACAUAGUUUAACUGAGCUCCUCCUCAGAACAUUGCUGCACCAUUGCUGGUAUGACCCAAACACACCCACACCCUCAGCCUGCUUCUUGACUGUCUUCCCAACCUGAAUUUUUACACUUUCUACUGUUCAGUGCCUAUCAUCCCAUUUACCAGUGGAUUGAAAGCACAAUAAAGAUGAAAGUAUAAUCCUGCAUGCCUAUCAUUUUCUGCCUCUUUGGUUUGAGAUCGCAAGGGGAGACUGAAAGUAAUAUACUACUGAUUAUUCUAUAAUUUCCUUAUGGCAGGAGCUAAAUGGAUCAUACUGGAUGUACAUUACAAUGCAAGAAUCCGGCGUUUGCUGGUUAACAAGUGCUCCAGGCCCCAGGCAUGUUUGAGCUGGCUUUUGGGGCAGGUGGUUUGCUGGGGCAGCAGGUUGCUGAGUGGCCCCAGCCCUGCUGCCUGCUUGCUUCUCUGUAGGUGCCAGGCUGCCACUCCAGUGGGGCUUGCAGCUUCACAAGCAACAGUGAGAAACACAACCAACUUGCCUUUUCUUUCAGGAGCUGAAACACAUGGCUUGACUUUGUAAGGGUUUUUAGUUAGCGCCCCAAUCCAUAACACCUGCUUCCUCCAGGACAGCAGCUGCAAAGCAUCAGUCUGCCCCUCUCUCCUCAUCCCAGGAGCUGCAAAAUUUAGUAUUGCUGCCAGGUUAGGGAGCCCCAAGAUAUCCCAGGGUUCCCAUCACUCAAGUCUCUGAAUGGUUUCCUUUCCUCUUGUCCUCACCUAAAACGCAUUGGGUAAAAGUGAUUUGCCAUCUAGCAAUCACUUAGUAAUUGGAACUUCAGAUGCUGUAUGUUACCAUGCUCCUUUUACAUAUGCUCAAUAUAUUUAAUCAUAAAAAGAGCUCACGUGUGGAAAACACAUGCCUACUGUGGGUAGGCCAGCAUUACAGCUCUGCGUCGAAUAAGCUACCAUGGAUAUACCCCACAGUUCCAGGAAACUCCUUCUUUAGGAUACACACAAAACAUGUAAACAAAGUUAUAAAAAUCAGCUGUGCUAUUUUGCUUCCCUUCAUGCUUCAGCUGUUGGUGUUUCUUUCACCCAGAAACAGAUAUUUCCCCAGGUUCCUAAUAGUGUCGCUUAUCCUUCAGGGAUACAUUUUUCCUCUGCAGUAGUGAUUUGUACACCAGAGCUGCGUUACUAUUAGGCCAUGAGAUGAAAGACACAGCAGACUUGUAAUUGACUUUUUUGUUCACAUAUCUGCAGGAAAAGAUCACACUUCUUCAGUUUUCUAGGAACACGCUUUUAUGACUGGAAAAAUACAGGGAGCAGGCUAAAGCUGGGCCUGCACAAGCCCAGCAGAGCCUAGCAGAGGCCUAGCAGAGUCAGUGUGUUGGAGUAGCUGCCAGGAUGGUGUCAAAAGGGAGUAGCGUGGCCAGCACACGCCAUGCAGAGGAGAAAGAGGUAUUUAGAGGGAUUCUGAGAAUAUAAAACAAGAAAUGAAGCAGGCUGACAUUCAGCUGGUAAUUGCACAGCAGCAUUAACACUUCUCGCCACCCCUUCUUCGGUCAGGGGCACUAGCCCCGCUGUGACUGCGAAUACCUGAAUCCAGCCUCCCUUCAGACUGCCAUUCCCCCACCUUCGGAUCAACUCGGAAAUGAUUUUCUUGUACAAAGGUGCUGUGCUGACACAGACACUGUGCCCUGAGGUAUUUAUGAGGAAUUUACAGUCUAAUUGAUAAGGACUAAAGGGUGACUGGUGGAAAUGCCAACUUGGUAGGCAUCUCUGACCCUUGGAUGGGACACAAAGUGUCAGUAACUGAGGGCUGGCUCCAGGCAGUUUCUGGGCCUCUCAAUCCCUCGAGGAUGGUCAGAUUAGGAACAUGAAGUUUUACCAGAUACAAGAGUGUUUGGAGCCAGCAACGCAGGAAAAGACUUAUGUCAUCUCCUCUCAUGUUUUUUUUACUCAUACCCAAAACUAUGAGGAAAUACUCUUCUUCAAAAGAAUAUCUUGCAUAUCAAUAACUAGCUUCAUCCAAGAUCUCAGAGGGCUCUAUAUACAGCCAUUAAGUGCAAUUCCUAUCUCACUGGUGCCCAUGGAGAAGCUGCUAACUGAACUCAGAAGAAUACACCCAGGAGAACUGACCUCCAGCACUCUUUCUUAACCUGCAAAUUACAUUUUCCUUAAAAACAAAUAAAUGACCCUAAAAAUCCCGAAGAAGCUUCAGUUACAGAAAGAACAACAAGAAGCACAGUCUUGGUUAGUGGCAUCACAAACCCCCAUACUCAGGCUGGAACUCUCAGAAACGUUCAAGAGCAUUUGUGGAAAUAUAACUGUAACCAUGUGGCUUUGGGAAGUCAUGGCAUGCCCAGCCCAUUACUUGCUUCAGUAGGUGGGUGCAACUAGUUCAUCAGUUAUAAAACUAGCAAGCUGUCUGGGAAGCAGGGAUGCGUGAAUUCCUGGGAGUACAACAUUUCUCCGAUGUCUGAUAUUUCCUCUUUGCAGAUAUGAUGAUAUCUGAGGCUGGAAGCCUGGAAAGUCUGGCAGAUCAUGCUGGCAAACUGGCAAAGUAUGACAGUAUUCUUUUGAUUCUGAAUGUAGAUACCUUGAUAGUGUGUAAGUGUUUUAAUCUUGGGGCAUAUAGUAACUCAAUGCAUGAGAAUGGGAAACCAGAAGAGAAGAAGCCAGACAUAUCUCUGUUUUGUUCCAGUUUUGCUGUCUUGGUGGCUGGAAGGGUUAGUAAAAUUCGUUCCUUACAAGGCUGGCACAAUUGCAAUGAACAGUCUAGGACAGGAGCAUGGAGAAUCCCAAGUGGGAAAACAAAAUCUGUCUACAGCAAAUGAUCUCAUCCCAGACCAAGACUCCCUGGGAUAAUGUGUGCCCACCUGUUAGUGUUUCAGUGACUGACAAAGCACAAUACUAAGUCUCUAGUGCGCAGUUUCCAAGAACUUGGGCUGCAGUUCAGUCAAAACUUAAAAAAAAAGAGUCUGCACAUGUGAAGACUAUUUAAGAUGAUGACCUGUCAUUGCUAAAAUUCCUGAAGAAUGCAGGUGCAAAUAUCAUCAAUGUCUCAUCACAGGAAAGAUGGAAAGAGAAGUUGAUGGCAGCCUUAAUUCUCUAUUUCCUGGAGGCUUAAAUUGGUUUAAGACCUUUCGCACUCCUGGGGUGAUUUCUGGGUUUCAGCCUUAAGGGAGGAGAGGAGAUUGCUAUUCCUCUUCCACAGCAGCAGGUGGGCUCUUUGCUGUGUGCUCCCCCUCCUCACUGCCAGCCGAUGCUGCCUGUGGGCCAGCAGAGAGGAGGGAGCAUCUUCCCCAAUCCAAGAGGAAUCUACUGGAGAUAUUCCCACACUGAGGUGUCCUCUGGCUGCUCACCUCGUACCCCCAACACCUGCCCACCUCUUCCUGGAGUUCCUUGGACCAGGGACCAUUCACCUGGCUGCAUUGUCAGAGAGGAGUUAACAGUUUCUGGCAAAUGCAAGGGCCAGGAAUAGAGCUGCAAUUACUGUGUUAUUUCAAGCUUUGUAAUCUGAUGGGAGCUAACGCCUGUUAUUUUACGUUCAGUUUCCUCCUAUGGAGUCAAGGACUAGGAGGUGCUUUCUUCUUUUCCCUGGUGAGAUCUUUGCAAAACUCUCUCUUUUCCUGUUCACACUGCAAGCACCACCAAGCCAUCAAACGCUAGGUGCUCCUGCCUCUGUGUAAUCCUAGGUUAAAUGCACAAUGUGAUCUAAGGGGAUGUAAACAGAUGUCCCUCUGGUGCAGCAAGAGUUUCUAUUCCCAAGGCAGCUACAAAGCUCAGCAUAUUACAGUUUCCAAAAUCAUCUAAAACUUGUCAGACAUUUUACUGAUGCCUCAGAAAUAGGGGUAUCUACCCAGCAGCCUGCUCACCUGUACCACUGAUAAUCAAUCCCACACUGCAUUGCUUAAGACGCUUGCAGAAUAAACACUACAAGAAAAUCCCCAGCCCAGCUGGGGGUCUCUGAUGAAUACAGCUGGUGCAGACAUCUCCUGGUAGAAGACUUCUUAAUAUUUUUUUAUUAUUUUUUUUUUUUUAUUUUAAAAGGAGUGCAGUACAAGCGAUGUUUCAAACAGGAAAUUUGGGAUGUCCCUCCACAGUUGCCUUGUGCACUCCUUGGCAGUACUGUGAAACACUACCAGCGACAAAUGAGAAACGCAGAAAAUGAGCAAUGGUGAGCUAAAGCUUGAGUGUCAACUUUGCUUUGUCAUUUCUUCCACUGCCUUUGUCAGUCAUUUUGCCAAGGUGUCAAAAGCUACAGCAUUAAUGUGUAUGUGGAGUUACACCCCAUCUUACGUGUGUAUGUCUGAUUUGAACACAUUCGCUGAGAAUCUGCUUCCCUGUGAAUCCCUUCACAUACAUCCUCCUGCUUAAGCUAUGGAUAGGAGCGGAAAUAGUAUCUGUGUGACAGCUUUGAACAGAUGGAAAAUACUGCUGUCAAUGUCUCAAUUAUUAAGCUUCUGUGUAUUCCCACAAAUUGCUGCCGUGCUCAAAAGAGCAAAAUAUAUGUACUAAGCCUUUUGCCUAGACCUUCAGGAGUUGCUGGGUUUUGAGUUCUUAGUUCUGCAGAGCAUUACUUAGAGAGGCCAAUCCUGUAAUUAUUGAUAUUAUCUCUUUGACAUCUUUACUUCUUCCUAAAUCUCUGACAUAAAUACAUCCCCAAACAAAUGUCUCUUGCUUUUCCACUACCAUUUUUAAGUACUGCCAGAAGGCAUGCUGCAGGCCAUCACCAAAAUAAAACAUUAAUUGCAAGUAGAAGUUUUCAGUGGAAAAGCCUUGAUGGAAGAAAAGGUACUUCGGUUGCCAGUGGGAGUCCAUGGAACUGCAAGUCUCUGGGCCUUGUAACUGUGAAGCCCCAGGUGGUUUUGAGGGGAGAGACUUCACAGUUGUGUGCAUAAACACACAGAGCAGAGAACAUAAUCCCAUAAUCUGAUUAUGUCUGCUGCUUAGCUGCCAAGGAAUUGCCCACAUUACAGCAGUUGCCAGGUCAAUGAAACUCUAGUCUUUGGUGUAUAUGUAAGAGAAACCCAAAGGAUGUCAGUGAAACUCCUUUUGAGUUUGAUGUUAGGCAUGUGUUUAACUGGGCCUUACACUGGAAAAACAUCUGUAAAGAUUCAAAAAGUCAAAGUUGUAUUGCUCUGAAGAGCUUAAGAGUAUUGGGAAUAAAUUUCGGGAACAUAUGGUCACUGCACAUUGGUUUCUUCUUUUCUUGCUAAUGUCUCUGGUUGCCCAUUCAUCUUAUAAUUAACAAACCCACUGGGAUAAAUCAUUGUUUCCAGCAGCUUAGCAUA